rnacentral:lncRNA from 1 species
GGGGUUUUCUCUUUGUUUAAAUCCCUCCUCCCUCUGUCUCUACAAGGGAGCUGUUUUCUUCUUCCUUCUUUCUUGCUUAUUAAACUCUCCUCUCCUUAAAACCACUCCACGUAUGUCCAAGUCGUUUUAUCUAAUUCGGUGCAAGAUUAAGGACACUAGUGUUCUUCCAGUCAUCAUAGCCAUAUCAAUACUUGGUGUCAGAAGGAAGGACCAAAGGUGAUUCACCUUAAGGAGACUCACCAGGCCUUGGAACUACAGCAUGAGGUACCCACACUGGGGCUCUUUAGGGCCGCCGACCCUGACUUCCACGGGUCACUUCUUCUCCGGCUUGGAGAGUCUGUCUUAGAACUCCCAAUUUUGAUUUGUUUUCUGUUUUAUUUGGGAUUUGGUGAGGAAAGAUCUUUUCCUCCUUGUUUGAAUCUCUUGUUGAAGAGGACUCUUUUCCUCUGUUGACCUUGUCUAUGAAGUUUGAACCUAGAGGUUUGAAUGAGGAAAUUUUUUUCUUCAUUUGGAGAAGGCCAUUGUUUUUCUUGGUAAGCAUAUACUUUAUUUUUCUCCUGUGCUUGCAUUUAUUUUGCUUUUACAUAUUCAGUGCUUGAGUUUCACUGGAGUUUGUGCAUUUAGCAGCUGACUAAAUCACCUAAAUAAAUUUAGUUACAAAUGAACUCUCAAAGUUCAAUGACAUGAGAAUUAGGCUCUGAUUUUUUUAUCUUGCCCAAAUUCAUACCUAAGGAGUCUGGGGAGUCAUGCCCUACAAACCAUAAACUAACAUCACAUGGGUUUCAUUUAACCCUGUAUAUCAUGACUUACUUUCCAAUCUGACUCUGGCAUAACAUUAUGUGACAAAGAAGAAAGUCAAAUGUUUUACCCCAAAACAUGUUUACUUGCCAUAUUUUGAAAUGGCCCUGCAAAGCUGUCCUUUGUGGGGAGAAAUUUGCAUAUGUAAAGAAUCUCUAUUAAAAUAACUGGAUCUUUUUCUCCAGGCCCUCCCAAUCCUAAAGAGAUUAACUAAGAGUCUAGCACCUUUUAAAUAUCUGAAUAGGAUAUCAUUCUAUUGUCUCUAAGAGCAGCCACUAUAAGACUUCAAAAGAACCUUGGUCUCCACAUCCUUUUAUCUUAACCUGAAUAUUUAUUUUCUAUCGACCCCAGGUCUUUAGACAAACUCAACUAAUUGUCAACCAGAAAAUGUUUAAAUUUACCUAUAGCCUGAAACUACCCCCCCCCACCCCCCACCUUCCUAAUCCCUGGCUUUGAAUUGUCCCACCUUUCUGGACCAAACCAAUGUAUUUCUAAUAUGUCAGUAAAUUGAGUUAUAUACCUAUAAUUGUAUAUAUAUAUGUGUGUGUGUGUGUGUAUAUCCUUUGAUAGAUGAUUUUAUUGACUACUUUUUGUUUGUUUGUUUAUAGCCCCUCUGGCUAAUCUUUGUUCCCUUAAAUACAGAGAACUUUGGGAGCUUUGGGAAGUUUGCUAAUUUUUUCUUUUUUAGAAUUUUUUUUUUUUUGCCUUGCUUUAUAUUCCUCAAUUUUAUCACAGAAUUAGCAAAUGGCUUGUAGGAAAAGUGAAGAUUUGAACACUGUCUGUUUUGUGCUGCUCUAAUAGAAUACAAAGACCAGAUAAUUCAUAAUGAACAUAAAUGUAUUGGCUUACAAUUCUAGAGGCUGAGAAGGGGCCAGCAUCUAGUGAGGUUCUUCUUGCUGUACUAUCAAAUGGAAGGAGGUGAGACCAGGAGAGAGAGAACCCACUCCUCAAAGUCAUUUUUUUAAAGGCACUAAACUCACUCACAUAUAAAGGCGGAAUUCUUAUGGGCCUUAAAGGCCCCACCUCCCAAUACCAUUAUAUUUGCAAUUAAAUUUUAACCUGAGUUUUGGAGGAGACAAACAUUCAGACUAUAGGAAAAACCUUCAAAUAUUCAGUAUUGUCACCCUAGUCCACAUAACCACUACAAAAAUUGCUGGUUUCACUUUCUGCAAACAUAGGUUCUCUGUCUUGGCCAGACUCUGAUCCAUGAAAAAGAAAAAUAACAAAAGUAGCAGAUUGUUGAUUUUUUCUCCCUGCUCUGGAAUUAAAGUCAUUUGGUUGUCAUUCCAUAGAUCUCUGAUUCCUUAAAAAUGCAUUUUUGGGGAGAUCUGGCAAGAUGGCUGAAUAGGAACAGCCCCAGUCUGCAGCUCACAUCAAGAGCAACACAGAAGGCAGUUGUGCCUGGAACCUCAGCGAGGCAGAAUCAUUCACUCCCCUGGAAAGGGGGCUAAAGCCAGGGAGCCAAGUGGUCUCGCUCAGCAGGUCCCACUUUCCUGGAGCCCAGCGAGCAAACAACAACUGGCUUGAAAUUCUCACUGCCAGCGCAGCAGUCUGAAGUGGACGUGAGACAAUCAAGCUUGGUGGGUGGGAGGGGCAUCUGCCAUUACUGAGGCUUGAGUAGGCGAUUUUUCCCCUGACAGUGCUAAGGAGGCCAGGAAGUUCAAACUUGGCAGAAUUCACCACAGUGCAGCAAAGUAUCUGUGGCCAGUCUGCCUCUCUAGAUUCUUCUCACUGGGCAAGGCAUCUCUGAAAAAAAGGCAGCAGCCCCAGUCAGGGGCUUAUAGAUAAAACUCCCAUCUCCCUGGGUCAGAGAACCUGGGGGAAGGGGCAGCUGUGGGUGCAACUUGAGCAGACUUAAACAUUCCUGCCUGCCGGUUCUGAAGAGAGGAGCAGAUCUCCCAGCACAGUGUUCGAGCUCUGCUAAGGGACAAACUGCCUCCUCAAGUGGGUCCCUGACCCCCAUAUGCCUCCUGACUGGGAGACAGCUCUUAGCAGGGGUUGACAGACACCUCAUAGAGGAGAGCUCUGGCUGGCAUCAGGCCAGUGCCCCUCUGGGACAAAGCUUCCUGAAAAAGGAGCAGGUGGCAGUCUUUGCUCUUCUGCAGCCUACAUGGGUGAUAUCCAAGCAAACAGGGUCUGGAGUGGACCUCAACUACAGCAGGCCUGCAGAAGAGGAGCCUGACUGUUAGAAGAAAAACUAACAAACAGAAAGCAAUAACAUCAACAUCAACAAGAAGGACCCCCACAUGAAAACCCCAUCCAAAGGUCAUCAGCCUCAAAGAUCAAAGGUAGAUAAAUCCAUGAAGAUGAGAAAAAAAACAAUGCAAAAAUGCUGAAAAUUCCAAAAACCAGAAUGCCUCGUCUCCAAAUGAUCACAACUGGUCUCUAGCAAACCUAGAUGACGGAUUGAUAGGUGCAGCAAACCACCAUGGCAUAUGUAUACCUAUGUAACAAACCUGCACAUUCUACACAUUUAUCCCAGAACUUAAAAGUAAAAAUAUAAUAAAUAAGAUUAAAUUAAAUUUAAAAAGAUACUUCCAUAUGCAUGUUUAUAGCAGCACAAUUCACAAUUGCAAAAAUGUGGAACCAACCCAAGUGCCCAUCAAUCAACGAGUGGAUAAAGAACCUGUGGUAUUAUAUGUAUAUGAUGGAAUACCACUCACUCACAGAAGGGAAUGAAUUAACGGCAUUUGCAGUGACCUGGAUGAGAUUGGAGACAAUUAUUCUAAAUGAAGUAGCUCAGGAAUGGAAAACCAAGCAUCAUAUGUUCUCACGCAUUAGUAGGAGCUAAGCUAUGAGGAUGCAAAGGCAUAGGAAUGGCACAAUGGACUUUGGGGACUCAGGGGAAAAGGGUGGGAAGUGGGUAAGGGAUAAAAGACUACAAAUAGGAUGCAGUCUAUACUGCUCGGUGAUGAGUGCACCAAAAUCUCACCAAAUCACCACUAAAGAACUACCCAUGUAACCAAACACCACCUGUUCCCCAAUAACCUAUGGAAAUUAAAAAAAAAAAAAAAAAGUUUAAUUUCAUUUACUGCCACCUAUUUUGUUGUUGUCAUUGUUGUUAAAUAAUUUACUAAUACAUAUAAGUGCUCGAACAUAUUGCCAUUAAUUUUGUUUUAUGAGGUCAGUUAACUUACAGGAUACUUGAGAAAAACUAAUUAUAUUUCUCUUACAGUUACCAGUCUACCUUUCUGCAUUCUUUCCUGUAGAAGCAGUUUCCCAUCUGAUACUGUUUCCCUCAGUAAAAAGAACAUCCUUCAGCAUUUCUUACAGUGUGGACCUGCUGGCAACACAUUCAUUCAGCUUUUACUAACCUGGAAAUAUUUUUAUUUUGCUUCAUUUUUUAAAAUUAAGUUUUUAAUUUGGUAUAAUUGUAAGUUCACAUGUUACCAUAAGGAAUAACACCAAGAGAUCCCAUGUUUCCUGUCCCAGUUUACCCCAAUGGCGAUGUCUUGUAAAACUGUAACACAAUAUUACAACCAAGAUAUUGAUAAUGAUACAAUCAAAAUACAGAAGAGCUCCAUUAUCACAGGGAUCCCUAUGAUAGAGGAAGCCACACCCACCUUCUACCUCUCCCCCAUUCUUGAUUCCUGAAAACCAUUAAUUUGCUCUCCAUUUUUAUCAUUUUACCAUUUCAAGAAUGUUAUAUAAAUGGAAUUGCAUAGAAUGUAAACUUUUUUAGUUUCAACAUACCUGGAGAUUUAUACAAGUUGUUGCAUGUUCCUUUUAUAAUUGAGUAGUAUUCCACUGUAUUUAUGUACCACAGUUUAACUCAUUGAAGGACUUCUGAAUUGUUUUUAGUUUGGGGCUAUUACAAGUAAAACCACUAUGAAAAUUUGUGUCCACAUUUUGUGUAUUUGUAAGUUUUUAUUUCUCUGGAAUAACUAUCCAAGAGUGCAACUGCAGAGUUAUGUGGGAGUUGUAUGAUUUGUUUUUAAGGAAACUUCCACAGGAUUUUUCAAAGAGGCUGUAUCAUUUUACAUUCCUACCAGAAAUGCAUGAGUGAUCUAGUUUCUACUCGUCCUUGUUGACUUUUAAUAUUGUCACUAUUUUUAUAUUUGCCAUUCUGAUAAGUAUGUAGUGAUAUCUCAGUACAGUUUUAGUUUAUUUUGCCAUCUGUAUAUCCUCUGAUUCUUUCCUCUGUCAUCUUCAUUACCCUAUUGAACCUGUCUAGUGAGUUUUGCUGCUGUUGUUUUUGUGUCUUUCAGUUUUAUAAUUUAUAAUUUCUUUUUUCACACACACAAAUGUGCGAAAUGUGUGAAAGUGUUUCUUAAAUAUUACAAGAUACAAUAUCAACUAAAAAUACAUUAUAUUAAAAUUGAAAGCU